AACAAGAUCCAGGAUGGCAGCCAACAGGAAGUCAGUUCCUCUAGAACAGCCCUCUUUGGCAGAGGACUUUGACCAAGAUAGAACUCGGAGAACAGGAAGUUCCUCUCGAGCAGCCUCUUGGGUAAUGCAGUUUCCUCCAGCUUACAGCGAAGAUGGCUCCCAAGAGGAAGUUCCUCUCGAAGAGCUUUCUGGGUAAUGUAGUUCCAUCGCGACAACAGCCAAGAUGGCGGCCCCGCGGAGUUUCCCGUUAAGGGAACUCAAGCGUUACAUUAACCUAGGGGAGCUACAAGCAAGAAUGACAGAAGGACUGAAGAACUCACAGCAUAUAUGGAGACCAGAAGAAUUUCUUAGUGACUUACAAAAUAUUCAAUUAAAACAUCAUUUCUGCCAUGA